UCGGACGUGGUGCAUGGCGCACACCCGCCUUCACUGUACGCUCUUAGCAUCCGAUGGGUUGAACGGGAGAACCGGGUUCGAUUCCUGGCGUCCGAA